rnacentral:pre_miRNA from 2 species
UUUUCCCGAAGUUGCGAAUCUGCAAUUAGAAUAUUACAGAGAUUUGCCACUUCGUGAGAAUUG